ACGAAACACCAGAUCGCUCACGUGCAUACUGAACGGUAGCUUUGUUCCUAGAGCGACUAUGUUCUUCCAAAGUAGAGAGCAUUGGGCAGUUCGCCGUGCAACGGUACCGAUGGCAACCGUGGUAACCAUCAUCCUGUGCCAGGUGGCAGUGAGCACUGCAAACGUCGAGUCGCAAGGUAUAGCAAGUAAUGCAGCUAUCAAUGGCACAGAGAGCAACAUGGGGGUGACACCCACGAACGAGUCACUUCCCGGGAAGCCGCGUGCGGCGCAAGAAGCUUGUAAGGUUGACGUACAGUGUCCUGCAGACAUAGACGCCGUCCAAAUUGUACAACUAGCUACAGAAGAUACGAACGCCUGUGGUAAGAAGUUGAAGCUCUCGUCUCCUAUGCGGGUUAUCAGGAGCAAGGACAUGGCUGACGUCAAAGGACACAUCAAAUGUUCCUGGGUGUCGCUGGCAGAAAAAAACACAGUAAUAGUUGACCUCUGUGCGAAAGAAAAGGAGACUAUCUGGACGUGCAUGCACAUGUACCUGUUGAUAGCCGGAAUUGCUUUGCUUAUAAUAGUUAUUAUAUGCUGCCAGGCGUGUUGUUAACACACCUCCAAUAUCGUCUUAGGUGUACUUAGGUAUAAAUUUAUGCUGUGUUCUAGAGCGCGAGAGGAACGGAAUUCCUGUGAAACAUUAGUGGAGGAGGCUAAGAGAAAGUAGCGUGUAAUGGCGGCUGCAAAAAACACCAAAGACUAUGGAAUUGCUCUUUAUCAAAUAAACUGGACACGUGUUGUUACAACAAG